rnacentral:lncRNA from 1 species
AUUCACCUCUGGCUUUUUCUUGCCAGGUGUCUCCAGUAGUGAACCAUGGACCAGGCACUCAACAGAUCAAAGCCUUCUUGAAGAAGGCAUGAUGACCGCAGAAAGCCACUUGGCUUCAGUUGGAGAAGGUUACACGGAUGAAGCGAAUCUCCCACUGGGCAGUGUGACCUCCGAUCCUUCUAAUGAAGGCACUUCUCUGUUGUACGAGGUCAGCGGUACAGAACCUAAAGGCAUCUCAAAACAUGAAGGCCAAGCAUUGACUGCUGUGGCUGGACAGCCUGACAGCUCUGAGCAGUCCUUCUCAGAGGGAGCCAUUGUAAGUCAUCAAAACGACACUGCCGUUACGAGCCAGCCCCUGAUUUCCACUGGUGUGUCAUCGUUGAACUCAAAACCCUUCAGCCCUCUGCCUACAAAUCUGGCAACCUUUCUGUCUAGGGGAGACAGAAGGGGUAACACAACGGCACAGAUACUCAGCAUCAGUGGGAAGCAGCCCAGCCCCAGCCCAGAUGAGCCAGAAGAGAGAGAUCUGCUUGCAGCUACCUCAUUUGACCCAGAAUCCUUGGACGUUGCCAGGGAAUGGUUGGGUUUAUCCAUCACUCCCUCUCUAGCAACAUCAACUGUUAGGAUUCUCCAUGGCUUUCCUUUGGGGAAGAACAGAACUAGACCAGAAGGACAUUUUACUGAAACUGUGGAGACUCCAGCAAAACAAGGAACGGAGAAACAUGUUACUGAUGUCCCCCAAAUUAACCAGCCAUCACAAGUUUCAAAUCAACAAACUCACUUGGAUGUCCGAACUUCGGAUGCCACCAGACCUCUAGGAUCCCAACCAGAGGCAGAGAGUCCAUCAGAUAAGCAUGCCUCUACACCUAUCUUUCAGCAGCUAUUUUCAGGAAAUCGUGGGGCAACUAUUUCCAGGACGAAGACCCUGCAACAUUACACAUACUUGACUUUAUCUCCAGAUAGAGAGAUAACGGAUCAUGUAACUACUGAGCCUAGACUGGCUGGGCAGCCUGCUUCUCUACCUCUUUCUCAAAGCCACACAGAUCCUUUCAGGUUUUUGUCUACUCCAGAAACCCUCCUUCCCAAACCUUCACAGCAGUUUCCCCUGCCCAGGGAUGUCAGCCAGAUCUUACAAUCCAGUCUUCCCUUUUCAUCACAGUCUCCCCCUUUCAGCAAAAUGGAUACAUCCAGAGAAGUAGACAAAUCUCUUGCUGAGAGUAUGAACUCAUUGUCGCACCAUGAGGAAGACCCCCAGAUGACCACACAUGUUUCCCAUUUCGAAGUAUCCCAAACCACUGUAAGAAAACCACCGACUGUAACCAAUCUGCCCCAAACCAUUGAUGAUGAGGACCAUCUAAAUGCAUCUCUCCCAGCUCAAUCUGACACUCAACCACCAGGUGUUUUUUCCUCUGAUUAUGGCCAGGUAAGUAUCAGUAGCACAUUUCCACCACCUCAUUCAGCCUCAUCUCAUACUGCACCACCAGUACCGAGCGAGGUAAGCUUUGCCCAGGUAGAGCUUUCGUCACCUGUUACAUCUUCUGCUGCUAGACACAUCAUGCAAGGCGCUUCUGAGUUUCAGCUGCCCACCGUAUCGUCUGCUGCCCACAGAGAACAAGCAUCACCCAACAAAUUUGUUCCAUCUCAUAUUGAAUCAGAAUCAUCGACCACUUCUUCUGACCCUGUUCUGACCAGACUACAAAGACCUAGCAUCCAUGCUGGGCCCCAGAGAUCAGAAGCGCUUGCUCCUUCUCAAGAUGAACCACAACAGAAGGCACAAUCACCCAUCAUCACCACAGCUGUAACUCUCAAUAAGGUAUCGAUGCUAGAGAAUUUUGUCUCCCUGUAUCCUGAGGGGAACAGAUUGGCAGAGACUCAUUCUGCCCAUUCUAAGCCCAAACGGCCUGUGUUUUCAACUCUUUUGUACGAUGAACAGCCAGAAAGAGCCUUAAGCACCUUUGUGCCAUUCCUGGUCAACCAACAAAAGAUCACUAACUCAGUUUCUUUUCGCACAAGUGUUCCUUCUCAAACUGGGGUAGAUGUUCCAGACAGAACUUCUUCUAGUGGGCUGGAGAUCCCUGGCACCUUUUCCCUUGAACACACCAAAACAAAACUGCCACCAAACAUCUCUACCUUUUUCCAUGAUGAGACACCAUCGGCCCCUGGCCAAGUCUACAGCACCUUUCAAAGACUUAGCACCAGCUCUCCCACUCAUGUUAAACAAUCAGGAAGUGUCUUGGGUAUAACUGUGCCAUCAGAGUCAGAAACACACGUGUCAGAUGGUUCUUCUUCUUUGGCUGAUGAACCCCUUCAUCUUGUCACAUCUGCACAUGUUGGUACAAAGACAAAUGAAACAACAGCGGAAGGAAGACAACCAGCCUCUGUUGAUGCCAAAACAAUGAGAGCAGAUAUUUUGGCCUCUACACCUUCCAAACUUCAUUCUCAGGUGGAGCAACAGUUGUCAGAGGUACCUGUGACACUGGGAGUCCAAUCCCUACCCUCAAAUGGGACAGAGACAUCAACCACAUCUUCCUUUGCCCCAAUCCAGCACCAGUUUUUUGAGGUCGCUUUCCACCCUAGCCUAAAGCCAUCCAGAACUUCUGCUUCUGUUCACAUGGAAUCCCGGUCACUCGAGACUUCCACCUCUACAGAUGUUGGAGCCCAGACAUCAAGCCUAGUAACACCUCUGCCUCCGACUAUACAGCCUCAAGCCACACCUGCUCUACAUGUAGCACCUCACACCCCUGGAGAAGAAAGGGGAAGAAAGAGCCCUCUACCAUUCAAUCUCCCAGCAUCUCAGGCUCCAGCUUAUAGGACAACUCCACAAGAUUCUUCCAUUUCUGAUCCAUCAAGGAAUGGUCCUGCCCAUUUUGCCAGUCCAGCCUCCCCUGUCAGCCAACACAACAAAGGAAGUGUCCCUGAUCCGAACUCAGCUCAGAUGGAGGACAGUCCUGUCAGCUUGGGGGCCGCGCCAACCCUGAUCGUGGCUGGGGCUCUGGAUCUUGUGCGAACCUCCGAAGCCUUCAUCCAGCACCUCAAUCGAUCCGAUGACCUGGGUGCAGCAACUCUUGACUCCUUGGUGGCAAGAGGCUCUCUUGGAACAGCACUUUCCCUUCAGUCCUUGUCCCUCUUGGCCCAGAAUGUAGGAAAUAUGGUAUGCUUACAGCGCAUGCAAAAUGCCACUCCAAUAGCUGAAGAAUCCAGUAACAAUAGACGUGUAGUAGCUUCUGCUCAAGAAAUGCUAGUUUUGUCUUCAACUCUCAGUUUCCCCCACUUUGCUGCUUCAAGUGUACUUCAAAUGAGCCCAUCUAGUGUGAUUCUGGUUAAGCCUGUGUUCGUCUUUCUACCAGCUGAAACACCCAAAAAUCCCACUUCACGUUCACUUUACACUGAGGAAGAAAGGGAGCGUGGAACGAGUCCGUCUUUCACCAACACAGCUGCUUUGAGUUCAGGUGGCAACCAAAAGCAACUGGUACAAACCAAGCUUACUGGGACGACUGUUCAGCAUCCAGAACAUGCAACAGCUUUUUCUUCUUCUGGUGCCCAUUUAACAGCUAAGCAAAUAAUUUCUGAGCCAGUUUACGACACUUCCCCGAAAUUCACAGAACCCAGUUUGCUUAGAUUCAACAACUUGACAUCUAAUCAGUUACCUUACCAGGUGACGGAACUAAGCACCAGAGCAAACUAUUUAGAGAGCAAGAAUCAGAAAAAUGAGUUCCAGUUGUCUACUCUCGCUUCUCCAAAAGUGCAAGAGAAUAAUUCAGUUUUGUUAUAUGUUGGGAUAUCAGCCUCUCCCCCAGACAUGGAGUCUGACCUGAAGAGGCCCCAAACAUUCCAACCCCCAACUGGACAGCUGAGCACCCCUGCCAGGACAACCCCAUGGCCUUCCUCGAUGGAGCUGUCAGCCCCUCAGAUACUGGGACGUGUCCUUCAGACACCAAGGACUGCAAGUAACCCUCAACUCAGCACAAGGCUAAUGCUUCACACCAGAAAUCAUUCUUAUGGUUCAGUGACCCCUGUUCUCCCCACAAGUAAGGACUUUGAUGAGUCCUUGAGAACAUCCUCAGCUGAGAACAUGAAAUUCCCAUUAGAGCUUGAUCAACCCUCCUUUUCAAGACCUACUUCAUAUAGCAACUUAAGCGCUGAGUUUUUUGGAAAGACUCUUCCGAAAGGUCAGUACGUACCCGUAGCAACAUCAAGUUCACCAUCCCUUCCAAAAGAAUACCAAGGAUCUGUGUUGUCCUUGAGUUACUCUUCUUCAAAACCAACGGCUGCCUUUCCUGUGGCAACUGAGAUGUCUUCCUCUCCGACCAAGACUGCCUUCUCCAAACCUUCCAAUGUCCAUGUCUUCUCUCCCAAGCCCCCCAUGGCAGACGAGAGGCCAACGACUGUACCUUCAACUUCUCUCCUAUUUCCAGCAGACAUCCCAGAGCAAACAGCUCUGUCUGGGAAGCAUCUUGAUGAUAUAAUGUACCAUCAGAAGCCAUCUGGGUCACCUUCCAUGGUACCUUCAGAGACAGUAACCCAUUCCUAUUUUGCUGAAUCAGUUAUGGAGCCCAAUCCAGCCACUCUGCUGUUCAAUGGAAGGAUUUCUCUUUUCGGUACAGGAAACCAGCUAGAAAAAAGAGCAAGCCCUGGAGAAACCAACCACAGCAGAUUGUCCAAUGACACUCACGAUCCAGCGGAAGCAGAUCAUUUUCAGCCCACCGUGUCUGGCACAGAGUCUGGGCAUCAGUCUGCUGGGUUGGUUGCCACAGGCUUCAGGUUAACGACAACAUCACCAGACAGUGCUUUGGGAUUAGUUGAUCUUCAACGUUUCUUCCAUAAAACACCACCUCAUGCUGGCCAUUCAGUUGCGUCCACUUCAGCUCUUGAAGACACAUCUGCUUCACCUGUCGGUGGAGAAGGAUCUAUUCUGGAAACCUCGCACCGUGUUUUGAGUAGCUCGCUGCAGCUUAGUGCAGGAGGGACAAGUAAACCAGCCUUUCCAUCAUCAGCGGUUAGCCAGGAUCAACACAGAAGAGUUGAGGUUACAGGGACCGAAGAUCUGCUUCUAAUUCCAUCAAACUCUCUUCCACAACCAGCAAGCCUAGAAGAUGACCACCAGGGGACCUCCAGUUCACUGGACAAUGAAAGGACACAGAGCACUGCUUCUACCUUGCCAACCUCUAUGUUUUCUACACUUCUUAAUGCACCAACCUUAAUAAUGACUCUCUCAUCCUCGGGGGUUGCCACUCAUGGACUUCUUGGUAGAGAUCUGAACCAGGCCUCCCAUCUACUUGGCAUCUCCAAGAGAUUUCGUAGGCUUCAGACCCAGAUCGAACCGACACUUGGGAGUCUUCCAGAUACAUCUAGCAUUAGGGAAGAUGGAGACUUCUCAGAAGAUGCUACUAGUAGCCCUGGAGGCAUGGAUGAGCCCCAGUUGCACACCGUAGGAGAUCAGCCUGCCAUCACAAGCAAUUCGACUGGAAGUGGAGAAGAAGAAACCGAGGAUGGUUCAGUGGCCGAUUUGCCACCAUGGGACUCAGACUGGAGAGCACAGCACCACCGGAGGAUGAUGCGCUCAGAUGAUGUUUUUCUAGAUAGCUUUGCCGUGGUGUCUGAUGAUGCCUGCAGCUCUGGUAACUACACCACAGAGAUGAGCCUCCGUCCUGCAUUGGUGGGCCAGUCGCUCUUUUCUCCAGUCACCUUCUUGGCCCGGAUUGUUCUCAAGGACGACCGAAGUCAUGCCAGUCUAAGCAUCAAAUCCUGCUGUGUUACACCCACCGCCAGGCCUGCAAGACCGGACGGUGCCGCCUGCUGCCUUUUCCCCAGGUCAUUGGUGGAAUGCAGGCACAUUCAGAUACACCAGAACAACAAAUCCCGAAUCGCUAACUUCACCAUCCAGCUGUUCCAGAUGCUGGACCGCUCAGUGGUGUACCUGCACUGUGAGCUCGGCGUCUGUCUCAGCCAGCAGGCUGGAUGCGAACAGAGCUGCGUAGAAAACAAAGAUUCACCCUCCAGGCCAAGCGAACGGAGCAGUUAUGAAACCUUGCACAAUGUCAUCUCUUUGGGACCGGUCCUGAAGCCCCAGGCAGAGUUUCCACCAGGACCACUUGCAGGAUCUCCUGUGGCUGUCCUGCUCCUGGGCCUCGUGCUCUCCUUGAUGGGCACCUUCGUCUUCUUGGCCACCAUCUUUGUCCUCUGGUACCAUUGGAGGCGCCAAAUCAAAAUGGCAAUGAACCUGGAGGGCCAAGGGAGCGAAUCCCCUUGAAACUUCAAGAGCUGCUUCCAGUAGCUGAGAACAUGCCCUCUGCUGCUGUUGCCUGGGUGAAUCGGGGCCAUUGCUUUGCCUGCUGUGUUUCUUUUUAUAGGGAGACACCUCUCUCCUUCUCUCUCUCUCUCUCUCUCUUCCUUCCUUCAUCAUGAGAGAGGCUAAGAAAUGCAGAGGUGGGGAGGAGCAGGUGGAAGACUUUGACGGAGGAGCACGGCAUGAAGGAAAUCCACUUGCGCUGGGGAUGGACAUUCAGAAGCAAGGUCUUCAAAGAGGGAGAAGCCAUUCCUUGGAGGCCAGUUUGGCAGUACAAGAAAAUUAUGUGGAUGCUUUUUUGGGGUGUUUGUUUUUUUAUAUAAAGAAAACCCCUGAACUGACACGGACCAAAUCUCUUUCAUCCUGAAAGGAGAUGUGUAGGCCUAACUGGAAUCAUCUUCUAGAAUUUGGCUGCAUUAAUCCCAUUCUAUAAACCCCCAUGUGCCUUAGCCAUUUUUGCUGCAGCAUUGCAAGUGAAGGCUGAUGUUCAGAUGAUGGUCAACCAAGGCUGGAAGGAAGCAUCAGGAGGGAUCCAUCCAGGGCAAGAGAUCACACAGAUGUUGAGAAGAAGUGGGAAGAAACCCCUGAGCAAAGAGGUCUUUUAAAACCCGUGGUCGUAAGAUGGGCUCUGCAAAGGCUCCCCCACACCAAGAAUGACAUUGUUUAUUUCCCUGAAACAUCUGGAGUGAAAAUAAGCAGCCGUCUUCUUGCGUCUUUCAUCCUUGGUCAUAGAUUUACUUUGCUCAUUUCCAGUUCUCGGAAUACGAUGAAUUAACUGCUACUCUUUUUCAUGCACCAAUUUUUGCAGUUUUUUAAAGCCACCAUUUAGUCGAAGGCCUUCUACCAAUUUCGGAUGUUUAAUCUGCUGGGACAGAUUAGCCCAGGAUACUUGUCUUAUCAGAGAGUGGGUGGGGUGGGGGGGGAGGAUAAAGCACCUUAGGUGGCAAAGUUCCCAAUAAAUGUUGAUUUGAUUUUCCUCUUGGCA